rnacentral:lncRNA from 1 species
GUCGUUCUGACAUAUUCCAACCUCAAGGAAAUAUUUGAGAAACUGAAGUCUCCUUUUCAAAAGCUCUCCAGAAAAAUACUGGAGAAAUAAAAAGGUAAGCACUAUCUUUAAAAACGCCCUAUAUUUUAACCUCUGUUUUCACAUUUGGGCUUAGAUGUUUCAGGUGAAUCAAGAUGACUAUCAGAGGUCAGAGGUCAAAAACAUUAGCCAUCCUCAACAGACAGAAACAAAGCAAACAAAUAUAAAAAUAAAACAAAGAACUCUUAUGCUAUGAUCAACUCCAGUGAAACUCAUUUUACUCACUUCCAAUCCAAUCCAAAUCCAGCCUUGCUAACUUGAUCGUUAUAUUAGUUUCUUGUUACAGCUUUAGAAGUUUAUUCAAUGAUUCCAGUCUAAUAAACACACAUACACACUCUCACAGAGGUUUCAUGUAAUUAUCCAUUCCAUUUUUCUACUUUAAAAGAUAGAUGAGGAGUUCCCAUCAUGGCUCAGUGUAAUCAAACCCGACUAGUAUUCAUGAGGACGUGAGUUUGAUCCCUGGCCUUGCUCAGUGGGUUGGGGAUGCGGCAUUUACGUGAGCUCUGUGGUGUAGGUUGCAGACAUGGCUUGGAUCUCACGUUGCAAUGGCUAUGGCAUAGGCUGGCAGCUGUAGCUCCACUUCAACCCUGAGCCUGGGAACUUCCUAAUGCCCCAGGGGGGGCCCAAAAAAAAAAAAAAAAAAAAAAAAAAAAAAAAGUCAGUAAAAAGAUAGGGGAAAAAACUUGUGAUUGGCUUAACCGAACUGCUACUGCAAUUGUUUCCCAGUAAAAUUACCUCUCACCCCAAUUUAACACUUCUGCAUGCACACAACUAACUAUGUUACAUUAGCUAUGCAUCAGAUGUAACAGUGGCAAACAGGCUCUAUAUACUAGCAUGGCAGCAAAAUGUGAUCUCCAAAGUCAAUUCCAAGUGCCUUCUUCUUCAUAUCAAGGGUUUGAUUUGCAAAGAAACUUUGAAUUUCAGUCUUGAGGACUAGAUUUGAAAGUCAUUAUGUUCUCAAAUGUUGUCCUAUUACCUAUUUUAUUUUUCUUUUUUAUCAAAUAAAAUAUCGUUGGAAGUAUACUUGCAAUUGAAAAAAGAAAUCAACUUCUUGUCAAAAAUAAUAAAGUGCAAUAAAGACAUGCUUUAUUUUAUCAACAUACGUGUUUUUCAUUUAACAAUAAUCAAAUUACUCCUUGAUUGAGGAAUUUUGAGAGGUUAAAAUUUGAGAGGCAGUAUCAAAAUGCAACUACUCCUAAGAUCUGCCCUAUUAUAGAGAGCAGGGAAAGAUGUUACCUUGACCUUAUAAUUGUAUGCUUUUUAAUAGAAUUUUAAUUGUAUAUUGAGAUAAGAAUGAGAUGAAAGAGUAUACAUUUCUUUUGUACAUGUUUACAGUAUGCUAGUCUGUAUCAGUAAACUAUGUACCAGGCUGUAUAUUUAAUCCUUGACACGUAUUAUCUUUAAUCUUCAAAGUAAUCUUAGAUAAGUCACAAUCAUAUACUCAGUCCUACAAAUUUGUUUGUAUUGCCUAGUGAGGUCAUUAAAAGUCAUUUAUGUGUAAAUAGUGAAGCCCUACAUAAAAUCAUCUCACCAAAAAAAGAGUAAUAAUAAUUGGCAAAAAAAGUUUUAAAUCUCCCUUAAUGGUUCUGACAAGAGUAUGGUGAACAGUCAUGAAGAAGGGGAGAAAUUUUCAAACUUUUAUUAAUAAUUUUCCAGCUCCAAUCCCUACUCUCAACUUUCACUCUCUCAUACACAUGCACUACAGUUGUCACAGAAAAUUCUUUCAAAUUCAUCUCAUCCUGGAUCUGAAGGCCCAAAGCAAUUCGCUUAUUUGUCAAAACAGCCAAUCAUCCCAUUCUUCCUAGCCCAAAGUCUGUGGGCUUUUUCAAAAGAUAUUUCCUUGUGAAAACUGUCAAAUAAUAUACACCUAUUAGAAAAGAUUUCUAGUUGUGUGUAUUAAUAAAAAAAACAUAAGGAAGAGUUUCUCUUUUGGAUUAUGAGAUAGGUAAUGAGGCCCCACUUUUGCAGCCUACAAUGGAAAAUAUGAAACAAUACUUCAGCAUUUGCAGCCUAUAUGUGGAUAAUUAGGCUUUCAAAAAUGUUUCAAAAUACACUUAGACACUUAGAAAAUAUACUACAUAUAUAUGCAUAUAUUAGAUGUAUAUUAUUAUAGGCAUUACAUAUAUAACAAAAUAUAAUCUUAAUAUAAACUAAACUUAAAAAGAAAAUAUCAUGCACUGUAUUACUUUAAUAAUCACUUAAUGAACUGAUACAUUCUACAUUCUAUACUUUGUCAUUAAAUGAGAAAUCAAUAAACAUACAAAAAUGGAAAACACAAAAUCUGAAUAAAAUUAUAAAACUACAACCUAAUCACUACCAUUAGCUUAAAAGGAUUUUGUUCUACAUAUGUUGGCCUGGUCAAGUAACUAAUUACUUCUAGUUUCCUCAAUUUGUGUAGAAGUAGAUUAGCUAAAAUUAACAAUGAAAAUUGAAAUGACACUACAAGUGUUAAGAAACAAUUUACAAUUAAGAAAGCAAAACAACUAUAAGCAGAGCAUAGCUGCUCUUAAACCAUGGCACUAACCUUUGUUAUUAUUUUAGUGAGAUACCUUUUAUAAAGUCCACUCUUUAGUUUCUUUGGUCAGAUAAAUGACUAUACAAAGUGAAACUCUGCCAGGAGUUUUACAGAUGUUAUUACUCCAUUUAAGUAAAUGCAAAAGGGAAGUAUGAGUUGUCUUUCUAAUAAAAUAAUAGGCAUAAAUGAAUGGACAGUCAUAUUAAUUUCAUCCCACAUUCCUAAAUUAAUAUUGCUUGUUUUAAAAGUGUGUGUAGAUAGAUGAUGUGCUAUGAAACUAAGUAUUUCUUCCUUCAGAAUAUUGUUUCUUGCUUCAAAACAAUGCCUUCUUAGUCUAUAUAUUCAAGGUUCUUUUGACAGCAGAAGGUAACAAUAUUUCGAAGAGAAGUCAAUUAUUGUAAUUAUUUUUUUAGCCUCUAGAAAAUAAUAACCGUGUACACUAGCUAACAUGAUACAUAUCUUUAUAUAAAACCAGCCUUCGAGGCUACAUGCUUACAAAGUAAAGAAUAUAAAUAAUAUAAUAUAAAUAAAACCUUAAGCUAAUAGUUCCAAAAAAGAAGGAAUUAAUUAUAUAUUUAUAUAUAAAUUGUUACACACAGAAAUGUAACACUAGAUUUUUCACCCAAACUAAAAUAUUAAAAAAAUAAUUAUUUAGUUUUAUAAUUCAGUGUGUACUUAGGGUACAUUUAUCUUAAAAUAAGAAUAUUUUUGUUGAAUUACCAUCAAUUUUUUUCAAAAAUAAUCAUUAUGUCUGCCACUUUUCAAACCUACACAGUUAAAGAAAAACUAUACUCUAAAUUCUAAAUAAUAACAAUAAUUUAAAGAUUGUUUCGCAGACCUCUUGUACUUAGUCCUGUACACUUCAGUCUUUCAUCCCACAGAUAAUGCCCCCUGAAUGUUGCUGAUAUAAACUGAAUUGUCAGCUAAUACUCCCAAAGAUUUAAGCUACUUGAUCUUUAUUAGUAUGUACAGGACUCUUAAACACACGAAUGCGGAAGACUCGAGAAAUCUGGAGAAUUCUGCUGUUAGCUCAAUAUGACUCCAUUCCACAUGGUAAAGUUGUAAAUGACUUCAAACUUCCAGCUCCCCUAAAUUAUCCAUUUCCCUCCCUCUUUCCCUUCUUCUCUUUUUCUCUCCUGUCAUCCCUUCUCAGAGUUGGUAUCAUGGGAAAGUACUUCAAGAGAACCUGAAAUAAUGGACAAAGGAUCGCCUUCCACUUCCUUAAUUCCACAUUGACCCCCGCCUCCACUGCUACUGUUGCAAAGCAAAGAGAUCUCUACUACCCUGUGAUGGAUACUCAGCCCUCUUAAUCUUGUUUCCACCUAGGGUGACAACUGGAUGUCAAGACAGAUGACAGAAAACAGAUGAAAAUUUUCCUAUCUAGACCCACUAUCCAAUAAAUGCUUACUUACAGCUUCCUAUAUAUAAGCAACUCAAAUCCACAUCUCUAAAUCUCUCUCUCUGCCAUAACCUUAAAAAAAUAAAUAAUUAAAAAAAAAAAGUGUGAGAUCUUUACUCUGGCUAUCCCAAGCAGUCUUUUCAAACUGUAAGAGACAGAAGAAUGAGCAGACUAAAUACAAAAGGAAAGGGUUCCCUUAUAAAUCAGUCACUAGGGCUGAUGGUUUUCCUUUUUCAGUAUUUCUCCAGGUCUCUCC